rnacentral:SRP_RNA from 1 species
GUCAUGUGUGGUGACUCAUGCCUGUAAUCCCAGCACUUUGGGAGGCUGACACAGAAGGAUCACUUGAGGCCAGGAGUUCAAGACCAGCCUGGGCAACAUAGUGAGACACUGUCUCUACUUUUUCUUUUUCUUUUUCUUUUUUUUGAGAUGGAGUCUCACCCUGUCGCCCAGGCNNNNNNNNNNGAAAAAGAAAAAGAAAAAGAAAAAGUAGAGACAGUGUCUCACUAUGUUGCCCAGGCUGGUCUUGAACUCCUGGCCUCAAGUGAUCCUUCUGUGUCAG